UCUGGAGAUUAAUAUUGCUGUGGAUUGA
rnacentral:piRNA from 1 species